rnacentral:rRNA from 1 species
UAGGGAAUCUUCCACAAUGGACGCAAGUCUGAUGGAGCAACGCCGCGUGAGUGAAGGAGGUCUUCGGAUCGUAAACUCUGUUGUUAGAGAAGAACACGAGUGAGAGUAACUGUUCAUUCGAUGACGGUAUCUAACCAGCAAGUCACGGCUAACUACGUGCCAA